rnacentral:rRNA from 1 species
UGAUUUCGGAGCGCCAGCUCUGAAUGAACCAACCUUGAGAUACCACCCUUGCAUGUUUGAGGUUCUAACCUAGGCCCGUCAUCCGGGUCAGGGACAGUGUGUGGUGGGUAGUUUGACUGGGGCGGUCUCCUCCCAAAGAGUAACGGAGGAGUGCGAAGGUACCCUCGGCGCGGUCGGAAAUCGCGCUAUGAGUAUAAAAGCAUAAGGGUGCCUGACUGCGAGACUGACAAGUCGAGCAGGGGCGAAAGCCGGCUUUAGUGAUCCGGUGGUUCUGUAUGGAAGGGCCAUCGCUCAACGGAUAAAAGGUACUCCGGGGAUAACAGGCUGAUUCCUCCCAAGAGUCCACAUCGACGGGGGAGUUUGGCACCUCGAUGUCGGCUCAUCACAUCCUGGGGCUGUAGCAGGUCCCAAGGGUAUGGCUGUUCGCCAUUUAAAGUGGUACGCGAGCUGGGUUUAGAACGUCGUGAGACAGUUCGGUCCCUAUCUGCCGUGGGCGUCGGAGAUUUGAGAGGAUCUUCUCCUAGUACGAGAGGACCGGAGUGGACGCACCUCUGGUGUUCCGGUUGUCACGCCAGUGGCACUGCCGGGUAGCUAUGUGCGGAAGGAAUAACCGCUGAAAGCAUCUAAGCGGGAAGUCCACCUCAAGAUGAGAUCUCCCUGAGGACUUGAUCCUCCUGAAGGGCCGUAGAAGACUACUACGUUGAUAGGCUGGGUGUGGAAGUGCAGUAAUGUAUGAAGCUAACCAGUACUAAUUGCCCGUGUGGCUUGAUCAU